CAUUCUGUUCCGGAAGCUUGCAAUCUGAGACACCUGGCAUCUUGUAAUCAAUUAUCUGAGAAACAGGGCCCACCUGCCCUGUACAUCCUGUAUCUGCAACUGUGUAACUGUUACCCCACGCUGUUACCCAACAUCCUAAGUAGAGCUUUUUGUUAGGCCCACCUUCUCCCCUAACCUGCUCCUUCUGCUUCUGUAAUAAUCUGCUUACCCCGACCCUAAUCUAGUAUAAAAAUGUUGAUUGCCUUUUGUUCUUGACCGAGAGGUUUGAGCUCUAGCUGACUCUCGGAUGCUGGGAUAACGGUGGACUCUCAACAAACUCAGUGCGUGGCGCUUCUGUUUAAACUCGCUCAGGGUUCUUCUUGUUACUAGUUUUUGUGCUUGGCAGACUUAUAAGUGAUAGAGAGAGAAGAAUCUUUGGAUGCAGCCAAUUACUGCAGUUCAGGGCUGGAAACCCUCCCAGCCAUGCAGCUGGUCAGGUGAUUGUGUGUCCAGAAAAAGAGGUAAGGCACACAGUGCAGACUGAGGCUGAGGAAAACAAGGUAAAAGCAAGGAAGAUGGAGGCAUACUGCCUUCACAGCAGCAGGAGAAGGGUCUCUGCUCGUUUUUCACAUUGGCAUUGAUUCACAUCUGGGGUGAAAUGCCGUGUUGCUGUAACAGGACUGCAGUAACUGGACUAAGAAAAAGAGAGUAGAAAACUACCCAAGAGGCUUCGGGCAAUCAACGAGGAGCCUGUGCUGUGAGCACUAAGUCUGCUUGUGAACGGGUCAGGGCCAUGAGUGGGCAGUGACCUGACCCAGAGGAACCACAGCAACACCCAGGACCAGCAGGAGAAUAUUUGGGACAAUCUGGACUGAAAAACUCAAGAACAAAUGAUAGAUCUGAGAUAGAAAUGAGAAUUUAA
rnacentral:lncRNA from 13 species